CGUUGGCGGCGUGGUUUAGGCAUGCAAGUCGAACGCGAAAGCAUCCUUCGGGGUGUGAUUAGAGUGGCGAACUGGUGAGUAACAGGUGGGUAAUGUGCCCCGCAGUGUGGGAUAACUGCUGGAAACAGCAGCUAAUACCUCAUGUGGCCGUGUGGAUGUUGGUCCGUACGGUUGAAGAUGCGCUUCGCGCGUGUCGCUGCGGGAUCAGCCCGCCCCCGAUUAGCUUGUUGGUGAGGUAAAAGCUCACCAAGGCUACGAUCGGUAGCUGGUCUUAGAGGAUGGUCAGCCACACCGGGAUUGAGAUACUGCCCGGACUCCUACGGGAGGCAGCAGUCUAGAAGCUUCUACAAUGCGCGAAAGCGUGAUAGAGCGACGCCGCGUGCGGGAUUGAAGGCCGUGAGGUCGUAAACCGCUGUCAGCAGGAAAGAAUGCCUGGAUGGUGAAUCCAGGAGAGACGGUACCUGCAAAGGAAGUCCUGGCUAACUCCGUGCCAGCAGCCGCGGUAAUACGGAGAGGGCAAACGUUGUUCGGAAUUACUGGGCGUAAAGAGUACGUAGGCGGCUUGGUCAGUCUGAUGUGAAAUACCCUCGCUCAACGAGGGAACUGCAUUGGAUACUGCCGAGCUUGAGGAUGGGAGAGGCAGGUGGAAUUCCUGGUGUAGCGGUGGAAUGCGUAGAUAUCAGGAAGAACACUCGUGGCGAAGGCGGCCUGCUGGCCCAUUUCUGACGCUGAGGUACGAAAGCCAGGGGAGCGAACGGGAUUAGAUACCCCGGUAGUCCUGGCCGUAAACGGUGGACACUGGGUGUCGGGGGUAUCGACCCCCUCGGUGCCGCAGCCAACGCGUUAAGUGUCCCGCCUGGGGAGUACGACCGCAAGGUUGAAACUCAAAGGAAUUGACGGGUCCCCGCACAAGCGGUGGAGGAUGUGGUUUAAUUCGAAGCAACGCGAAGAACCUUACCAAGGCUUGAACCGCAGGGUAAACUCAUUGAAAGAUGAGGUGCUUCGGCAAUCCUGUAGAGGUGCUGCAUGGCUGUCGUCAGCUCGUGUCGUGAGAUGUUGGGUUAAGUCCCUCAACGAGCGCAACCCUUGCCCUUAGUUACCAGCAUUUCGGAUGGGGACUCUAAGGGGACUGCCGCCGUAAGGCGGAGGAAGGUGGGGAUGACGUCAAGUCCUCAUGGCCCUUAUGUCUUGGGCUACACACGUCCUACAAUGGCCGGUACAGCGAGCAGCAAAACCGCGAGGUUGAGCGAAUCUCUCAAAGCCGGUCCCAGUUCAGAUUGCAGUCUGCAACUCGACUGCAUGAAGUCGGAAUCGCUAGUAAUCGCGGAUCAGCACGCCGCGGUGAAUACGUUCCCGGGGAUUGUACACACCGCCCGUCAAAUCACGAAAGUCGGCGGUACCAGAAGUCGCUGAGCUAACCUUCACGGGAGGCAGGUGCCUAAGGUAUGGCCGGUAAUUGGGAUUAAGUCGUAACAAGGUA
rnacentral:rRNA from 1 species